rnacentral:rRNA from 1 species
UACGUAGGGUGCAAGCGUUGUCCGGAAUUAUUGGGCGUAAAGAGCUCGUAGGCGGUUCGUCGCGUCGUGCGUGAAAGACCCCGGCUCAACUGGGGGGUGUCGUGCGAUACGGGCGGACUGGAGGCCAGUAGGGGGAUGCGGAAUUCCGGGUGUAGUGGUGGAAUGCGUAGAGAUCCGGAGGAACACCAGCGGCGAAGGCGGCAUCCUGGACUGGUCCUGACACUCAUGAGCGAAAGCGUGGGGAGCGAUCCGG